GGAGCAGGGGUUGCUGAUAAGCCACUUGGUUUGGUGGCAGUCUGUGGUCUUCACCAAAGGAUCACAGUGCUAAAUACUUAUUUUGGAACUGAAACUCCAGAUUGGUAAUCUAGCUAGACUAGUUUUACUUUGUCUAUGCCAUUGAUCAUUUUUGGGUUUUUGGUAUUAAGAUGCUCAAUAUUGUAAAUAGAGGAAGAAAAAAGACCAGAUCAGAGGACAGAACUAUCUUAAGAGAGCGUUAUUCCAGAUUACCAGAGUUUAAAACAGCCUUGGCAAAGAUUCUUGCUGUAAACAUGUUAAGAGAGCCACUGCGCCCAGCUGGAAAAUUUUGAACAUACAUAAACAGAAUAGUAAAAUGAUUCCUCACGUACCUACCAUCCAGCUUUAGCGGUUCCCAAUUCUAGCCAGUUACUUGUUUCAUAUAUAUUCCCACCCAUCCCAGUUUAUUUGGAGACAAAUCGCAG
rnacentral:lncRNA from 1 species